GGGGAAUCUUCCGCAAUGGACGAAAGUCUGACGGAGCAACGCCGCGUGAGUGAUGACGGCCUUCGGGUUGUAAAGCUCUGUUAAUCGGGACGAAUGGUUCUUGUGCAAAUAGUGCGAGGAUUUGACGGUACCGGAAUAGAAAGCCACGGCUAACUACGUGCCAGCAGCCGCGGUAAUACGUAGGUGGCAAGCGUUGUCCGGAAUUAUUGGGCGUAAAGCGCGCGCAGGCGGAUUGGUCAGUCUGUCUUAAAAGUUCGGGGCUUAACCCCGUGAUGGGAUGGAAACUGCCAAUCUAGAGUAUCGGAGAGGAAAGUGGAAUUCCUAGUGUAGCGGUGAAAUGCGUAGAUAUUAGGAAGAACACCAGUGGCGAAGGCGACUUUCUGGACGAAAACUGACGCUGAGGCGCGAAAGCCAGGGGAGCGAACGGGAUCAGAUACCCCGGUAGUCCUGGCCGUAAACGAUGGGUACUAGGUGUAGGAGGUAUCGACCCCUUCUGUGCCGGAGUUAACGCAAUAAGUACCCCGCCUGGGGAGUACGACCGCAAGGUUG
rnacentral:rRNA from 1 species